rnacentral:pre_miRNA from 1 species
ACCCUUCUGUAUCCGUGCUGAGAUUUCAUCACACACCAGACCACAAGGGCUGAUGAGACUACCAAGAUAAGUGAAGUG